UCGAGAGGCCCUAACCGGUCUUGCAACCCUGUUCAUCGUACCUUUGUGUUGUUCCCUCGGCGCGGCGCGCAGCCGCGCCGGCGGGAAGCUCAACGAAACCCUUGCAACGCAGCAUCCAAAACUCUGAUUGCAAAAAGACUUGAAUUGUCA
rnacentral:misc_RNA from 1 species